GAUGAACGCUGGCGGCGUGCCUAAUACAUGCAAGUCGAGCGAACAGAUGAGGAGCUUGCUCCUCUGACGUUAGCGGCGGACGGGUGAGUAACACGUGGAUAACCUACCUAUAAGACUGGGAUAACUUCGGGAAACCGGAGCUAAUACCGGAUAAUAUAUUGAACCGCAUGGUUCAAUAGUGAAAGACGGUUUUGCUGUCACUUAUAGAUGGAUCCGCGCCGCAUUAGCUAGUUGGUAAGGUAACGGCUUACCAAGGCAACGAUGCGUAGCCGACCUGAGAGGGUGAUCGGCCACACUGGAACUGAGACACGGUCCAGACUCCUACGGGAGGCAGCAGUAGGGAAUCUUCCGCAAUGGGCGAAAGCUUGACGGAGCAACGCCGCGUGAGUGAUGAAGGUCUUCGGAUCGUAAAACUCUGUUAUUAGGGAACAACAAAUGUGUAAGUAACUAUGCACGUCUUGACGGUACCUAAUCAGAAAGCCACGGCUAACUACGUG
rnacentral:rRNA from 1 species